AAGUCAUCUUUUACAACUCCUCCCUACCGCUCCUCCCCUAGCUCUCCAGGCCCAUUGCCCUGACUAGUAAAGGUUUGCUGUUUUUUCUUCUGGACAUUUUCCUUUGCGUCUUCAUUUAUAUAUAAGUGCUCAUAUUCUUGUUAUACACAGAUAUAUUUACAAACGUAGGUUGGGUAUCCCUAAUUCGAAGUGUUUGGGAGUACAACUGUUUCGGAUUUUGAAAUAUUUGCAUAUAUGUAGUGAGAUAUGUUGGGGAUGGGACCUAAGACUAAACAUUCAUUUAUGUUUUAUAUACUGUAGACAGCCUGAAGGUAAUUUUAUACAAUAUUUUCAGUAAUUUUGUGCACACAAUAAAGUUUUGGCUGAGCUGUGGCUGUAACCCAUCAUAUGAGUUCAGGUGUGGAGUUUUUCACUGGUGGCAUCAUGUCUGUGCUCAAUAGAUUUAAAAUUUUGGAGCAUUUUGGAGUUUUGUAUUACAGAUGCUCAACCUGCACUUCUGUAACAGAGUAGUUUGAAUGCUUAAUUAAAAUGGCAGUUGAAUAUUAUGUUAACUUUGGUUUUAUGAUUAAACCUUUUCAAAGUUUUUGUUACUUUCAGAUACUCAUAAGUAAGGCAUAUAACCUCUCUAGACCUCACUUUCCACAUUUGAUAAAGGAACGAUUUGAAUUAAAUGAAAUUGAAAAUCUCUUAGCUCUAAGUAUAACAAAUUAUGUGUUAAAUUGUAUAAUUCAUCUCUUAGAUAUCAUGAAGAAUGUGUUGUUUAUAAUAUGAAAAAGUAUGAAGAUAAAAAUCAAAUAUGACUUUGGGUAGCAAGAAGAGAUUUUGGGGGAAGUUGCUAAUGUGUACAGUUUUUUCCCCUAAGAGCGGCGAGAGAAUGGCAGCUGAUCAGACUGGUGGUGGAAUCUGUCUCUAUUGCCCAGCUUGGCACUAUGAAGUUUGACCUGUGUCGAUCACUCAAAACUAGCUGAUGACAUCUGAAAGGGAGUUUUACCCCGGCUCCCUGAAGUUUCACAUUACAGCUCUACAUUUGUGUUAACACAAUGAAUGCUUCAAAAAAAAAAAGUUAUAGAAAUCAAAGCUUACAUAGGCAAAUCUUUGUUAGUGACUUAGUUAAAAACAUUUCAUGAAUAAUAGUUGCUCAAGCUAUUUUAACCCUUUUCCCUUUCCCAGAAGAGAAACAAGAAAAUCCCACACAUUUUGCUCAGUCAUGGUAUGUUUGUAAGCUCUCUUGUCAGAAAGUGUCACUGAUUCUUUAAAUUUCUUUUAGUUAGCUGCUUUUGUCCAGUAGCUCACUUAUUUUGUGGUUUGAAGAUGACUGUACUUCUGACACUUUUCUCACAUACUCCUGCUUUAAUUUUUCGAAAAACUCAAUGGCAAGAAACUGAAAACAUAUACAGAAGUGGAGAGAAUACUAGAAUGAGCUCUCACGUCCCUAGCCUCUUGGCUUCAGCAGUACUCAGUGUUUUGCCCAUCAGAUUUUCUAAUGCUUUUAGUGUAAGUAAUGCCACAUUUAAAAAUACUCCUUUUAGAAAAGAGACUUAGUAUUUAAAAGGAAAUAAACCAGAG
rnacentral:lncRNA from 1 species